rnacentral:rRNA from 1 species
ACGAACGCUGGCGGCGUGCUUAACACAUGCAAGUCGAACGCUGAAGCUCAGCUUUUGUUGGGUGGAUGAGUGGCGAACGGGUGAGUAACACGUGAGUAACCUGCCCCCUUCUUUGGGAUAACGCCCGGAAACGGGUGCUAAUACUGGAUAUUCACUGGUCUUCGCAUGGGGGCUGGUGGAAAGGGUUUUUCUGGUGGGGGAUGGGCUCGCGGCCUAUCAGCUUGUUGGUGGGGUGAUGGCCUACCAAGGCUUUGACGGGUAGCCGGCCUGAGAGGGUGACCGGUCACAUUGGGACUGAGAUACGGCCCAGACUCCUACGGGAGGCAGCAGUGGGGAAUAUUGCACAAUGGGCGCAAGCAUGAUGCAGCGACGCCGCGUGAGGGAUGGAGGCCUUCGGGUUGUGAACCUCUUUCGCUCAUGGUCAAGCCGCAACAAUGGUUGUGGUGAGGGUAGUGGGUAAAGAAGCGCCGGCUAACUACGUG